rnacentral:rRNA from 1 species
AUUGAACGCUGGCGGCAUGCCUUACACAUGCAAGUCGAACGGCAGCACGGGGCAACCUGGUGGCGAGUGGCGAACGGGUGAGUAAUGCAUCGGAACGUGCCAUUGAGUGGGGGAUAACGUAGCGAAAGUUGCGCUAAUACCGCAUAUUCUGUAAGCAGGAAAGCAGGGGGACCGCAAGGCCUUGCGCUCUUUGAGCGGCCGAUGUCAGAUUAGCUAGUUGGUGAGGUAAAGGCUUACCAAGGCGACGAUCUGUAGCGGGUCUGAGAGGAUGAUCGCCACACUGGAACUGAGACACGGUCCAGACUCCUACGGGAGGCAGCAGUGGGGAAUUUUGGACAAUGGGGGCAACCCUGAUCCAGCCAUGCCGCGUGAGUGAAGAAGGCCU